AUCCUCCCGGCUCCCACGACCCACAUACCCUUUCCUACCACUACUUUCACUUCCAGUUACUCUCAUUAGAGUCUGUCGAGGGUCACUCGAUAAUUAUCAAAUUAAACCAAUCCCUAAUUUCCCAAAUCCAUAAUUUUCAUCAAAUUCGUCGAAUAAUUGACUUCAAUCAAAGAGUCUAUUGAGACUUUGAGAGUUCCUUCAAUCCAUAUACAGGGUUUUUGUAUUUUAGCUUCUUCUCCAGCGAUUUUUUUCGGCUUCGCAUUUUUGUUCUUCUCAACCGAACAUUUUUCUCGGCUGCUAUUUGGAAGCCCAUCUAAGUAGCGGCCAACAUGUUUAGACUUGUAGAUCCUCUUCUAAUUGCCCACCAGCUUAGUGUUCCCCAGUGAGAAAAGGUAUGUCUUGCUACUGAUUUUGAUUGUCAUUAGACAAUCCAGUUGAGACUUUUGGCAAAGUAACAUCCAUCAUCUUUGAUAAUAAGUCCAAUUUGCCAAAAGUCUGGUACAUCAAAUUGCAUAAGGAAGCAGGGUUGAAAGAUUUCACUAAAACUACCAGGAAAAUAAGGAAAUCCUUGUUUACACAUGAGGCCGAAAAUUGUAAUUCUCGUAUAUGUUAAUAUUAGAUAUAUGUCAAGGCUAAGAAACUAUUAAAUUAAUUAUGACACCUUUAUUUUCUUUUCUUUGGUGGCAAGAAUUACUUGUGACAUUAUCUUACGAUAAGUAUGCAAAUAACCAAGACUAUUAAGGGUUUAGCUAUCUCCUAGAUGUUUUGAGGUGGUUGCAGUUUCAGAAAUGGGAAAGCGAUUUGGUCAACUCCAUAUCUCUUGUGUCUUGUCACUCAUGUGCAGCCUUGUAGAACAUACUGCUUUUACGCUGUUAUCAUUUUCCGUGGUUCAGAGGGUUAUCGUAAUAUUGUUUUUGGGCAAAGGAUUGGAUAAAGAAAGGACAAUAUUUGUGGUUUCUCUGUGAUUGUGGGUAUAAUGUUUAUGUUAUCCUCCAUAAUUUUGUGCAGUAUAUAUGUUACAGUCUUUGGUUAUGUGCUUCUUUGUAGAUAAAAUAUUUCUAGUAUAAUUUUUUAUCUUGUUAAUAACUUACAGCAACCAUGGUCAGGAAAGUAGCAAAUGUACUCGCAUUCCCGAGGUAACGAUUUCUGCCUAUUUUUCUGCCUUAUUCUUCUCACCAGAGAACUUUUAGAAUUUUUUUUAACCGAACUCAACUUACUAUAUUUGGUGAUAAAUAUUUUGUUAUGUUUUUACUCACUUGCCUUGGAACUGAGUUUGAUUGAAUUACUAACCCUGAAUUGAUAAACUUAUCUGGAUCAAAAUUAACUGUGUAGACUGUAGAGUAAAGAGAACAGGAUAUCUGUUAAACUUUUGACUCAAGGGUUCAAAAGUAGUGUCAAUGAACUUGUCCGGAUAAGGGCAUUCAAACUUGCAUAUUGGGAAUAACAGGUUGACUAGUGGUUAAUUGAAUUUCAAACAAGAUGUUAAAAUGUUAUAUUUCCUAUUUCAGGAGAUUUUAUUCUUACUUUCAUAGUGGUGAUUGAGAAAAUAAGUUGGUGAUGAUAGAUUGCUGAUGCAAAUUCCCUAAGCCGAACCUUGGUAGUGGUUUUAGAAAUCUUGGCUUAUGGAGUAAAGUUUUAAAGAAAACAACUUCAUGUGACUUAUAUCUUUUGCUGCCUUGAUACUUUUGACUAAUGAACACUGGUGUAUCUGUGCACCUCUCUCACCAACAUGUCUAGGAAAUAGCUCGAGUGGACAUUUUGCCUCCUGGAAGAUUGCCUGGAAAAUUAAGAGGCUAUUUUCCCAUGUGUUAAUGUCCAGUAGUUGUUCUCUACUGAUGAUUGUUCAUUAUACCAGUGCUGUGAUUAUGAUGGUCAGUGGCCUACUUAGAAGCUUAGGCUUCUCAUGCUUUAUCCAGCUUUAGUGUCAUCGGAAAAAGAAUGUCAUGGAUUAUGUACAUUAUGUCAUGAGAUUUUUGAAAGAGAUCAUCGGCCAUAAGCAAACUCGAAUAUUUGAAGGUUACUUUCAUGAUUGCAAUGUUCCGAAUCAUGAUCAAGAACAAAUUUAUGAAGUCGGAGAAUGGACGCGUCAUGUUCUUCUCGUGUGAAUCUUGUGGUGGAUUAAUUAUGUUCUUCGACUAUAUAUUGUCUACAAUGUUCUACUUUUAGUGUGUUAAUUUGAAAUAAAAGUACUAUAUGACACAGAUAAUUUUUUUCUUUUUUUUUCUAUUGUUUUUCUUCAUCUAUAAGUGUGUUGAUAACAUUGCAUAUGAUUUUAAGUUAUGAGAUAUCGAGACGUUUGUUUUUA